UACGGAGGGUGCAAGCGUUAUCCGGAUUCACUGGGUUUAAAGGGUGCGUAGGUGGGUUGGUAAGUCAGUGGUGAAAUCUCCGAGCUUGACUUGGAAACUGCCAUUGAUACUAUCAGUCUUGAAUAUUGUGGAGGUCAGCGGAAUAUGUCAUGUAGCGGUGAAAUGCUUAGAUAUGACAUAGAACACCAAUUGCGAAGGCAGCUGGCUACACAAAUAUUGACACUGAGGCACGAAAGCGUGGGGAUCAAACAGG
rnacentral:rRNA from 1 species